UUGGAGACCUCAAAUC
rnacentral:rRNA from 1 species